CUGGAGGGCCACAGAUUCCCCACUCCUGCGUCAAACUGUUGAGAAUGGUUGCUUUGCAAAUAAGGUUAGUGAAGGGAGAAUGUAAUGUAAGAUGGUAUGGGAAGUGUGACUGCAGAAAUAUGCUUUCUUCUCUCUCCCACACAUGCACAAAUACAAGAACUCAAGGUCAUCAAGUGAGAACUGAGAGACUGUUUUGGAAAAGAACAUAUGGAACUCAAUGAGCGAGGAUGUCAUGAUGGCCACAAAUAAACAUGGUAAUAGCUUUUUUAAAGGAUUAGUUGUGUUAAUGAAGGAUAGAUCAACUGGGAGAAGAACACACAAGUACUGGUGCCAAUGUAGUUUUUUAUCUCUUUUUGUCUCUAAGGUCAGAGUUAUGCUAUAGCUUUAUGAUAAAACUGGCAAAAGAUAUAAUCCAUUUUCAUCACUGCCUUCUAGUCAUAAUCGUUAGAAAUGCAAUCUUCGUUUUCAUUUAUAAUAAACUGGAGGGUGUUGAUUCCAUAGGGGAAGACAAGCCUGCUGGCAAACUUCCUGGGGAAGUCUUUGCCAACCUGAUGCCCUCCAGAUGUUUUGGACUGCAGCUCCCAUCAGCCCAAGCAAGCACAGUUUAGGAAAGCCUGUUCUAGGAGAUGUGGCUGGCCUCUAGGGACAAAUUGCUGAGGACUGCCAGUACAGGGAGCGGCAAAGUCAACCUCGUCUGUGAGAAGUACUAAAAGCAAGACAUAUUUAUUAUGCUUAACUGCUUAAAUUAUAAAAAGGGCACGCUUACAGCUCAAUGGGAAUUUGUGUGUGUUAUGUUUGCAAGGCAACACUGAGACUAAGGAGGAGAAGGCUGCGAGCCAGUGCCACCUCCUGAAAUGAUUGUGCAUUGCUCAAUUCACCAUCUGGAACUUGUUAGCAGUUCUAUAAGGAAGACUUUCUACAUUCAAUCCUCCUCAUGGGGCUGCAUAGACUGCUAGUAUUCCUGCAAGCUGAUUUAGUCAUCUGAGAGUGUUUGAAAGCUGAAGCAAUGGCUCCGAUUUCUGGAAAGCCACGAUAAGCGAAUGUGGGCUUUGGCACGGAAUUAAAUGCUAAGCAAACAUUGGAAGCAAUCCACUAAGCACAGAAGCUGCCCAUCUGUAUUCAUUUCCAUGGGGGUCUAUGCAGGGCAAUGAUGUCUGAGCACCAGCGGUGCCCUGUGGAUUGCAUCAAUGGCCUGGACUCGUUAAGAGCGAUGUUGCUUAAUGGCAGCGGUGACAGAAACUGCCUUCCAGAUGACUUGAGUCUUUGUAGCCAGCAUCCCCAUUCCCAAGAACACCUCAGAACAACAUCCAGAGCAUCCUAGGAAGAACAAAAUGGCAGCCACUGGGAGUGUCCAGUGUCAGAAGUUAAGUCAAAAGAAAAA